GAAACGACUGCUAAGACUGGAUAGGAGACAAGAAGGCAUCUUCUUGUUUUUAAAAGACCUAGCAAUAGGUAUGCUUAGGGAGGAGCUUGCGUCACAUUAGUUAGUUGGUGGGGUAAAGGCCUACCAAGACUAUGAUGUGUAGCCGGGCUGAGAGGUUGAACGGCCACAUUGGGACUGAGACACGGCCCAAACUCCUACGGGAGGCAGCAGUAGGGAAUUUUCGGCAAUGGAGGAAACUCUGACCGAGCAACGCCGCGUGAACGAUGAAGUAUUUCGGUACGUAAAGUUCUUUUAUUAGGGAAGAAUAAAUGAUGGAAAAAUCAUUCUGACGGUACCUAAUGAAUAAGCCCCGGCUAACUAUGUGCCAGCAGCCGCGGUAAUACAUAGGGGGCAAGCGUUAUCCGGAAUUAUUGGGCGUAAAGGGUGCGUAGGCGGUUAAAUAAGUUUAUGGUCUAAGUGCAAUGCUCAACAUUGUGAUGCUAUAAAAACUGUUUAGCUAGAGUAAGAUAGAGGCAAGUGGAAUUCCAUGUGUAGUGGUAAAAUGCGUAAAUAUAUGGAGGAACACCAGUAGCGAAGGCGGCUUGCUGGGUCUUUACUGACGCUGAGGCACGAAAGCGUGGGGAGCAAACAGGAUUAGAUACCCUGGUAGUCCACGCCGUAAACGAUGAGUACUAAACGUUGGGUAAAACCAGUGUUGAAGUUAACACAUUAAGUACUCCGCCUGAGUAGUACGUACGCAAGUAUGAAACUUAAAGGAAUUGACGGGACUCCGCACAAGCGGUGGAUCAUGUUGUUUAAUUCGAAGGUACCCGAAAAACCUCACCAGGUCUUGACAUGCUUCUGCAAAGCUGUAGAAACACAGUGGAGGUUAUCAGUUGCACAGGUGGUGCAUGGUUGUCGUCAGCUCGUGUCGUGAGAUGUUGGGUUAAGUCCCGCAACGAGCGCAACCCUUAUUGUUAGUUACCAGCACGUAAUGGUGGGGACUUUAGCAAGACUGCCAGUGAUAAAUUGGAGGAAGGUGGGGACGACGUCAAAUCAUCAUGCCCCUUAUGACCUGGGCUACAAACGUGAUACAAUGGCUGUUACAAAGGGUAGCUGAAGCGCAAGUUUUUGGCGAAUCUCAAAAAAAUAGUCUCAGUUCGGAUUGAAGUCUGCAACUCGACUUCAUGAAGUUGGAAUCGCUAGUAAUCGCGAAUCAGCAUGUCGCGGUGAAUACGUUCGCGGGGUUUGUACACACCG
rnacentral:rRNA from 1 species